rnacentral:rRNA from 1 species
UACGAAGGGUGCAAGCGUUGCUCGGAAUUACUGGGCGUAAAGGGCUCGUAGGCGGCCAACUAAGUCAGACGUGAAAUCCCUCGGCUUAACCGGGGAACUGCGUCUGAUACUGGAUGGCUAGAGUUUGGGAGAGGGAUGCGGAAUUCCAGGUGUAGCGGUGAAAUGCGUAGAUAUCUGGAGGAACACCGGUGGCGAAGGCGGCAUCCUGGACCAACACUGACGCUGAGGAGCGAAAGCCAGGGGAGCAAACGGG